GACGAACGCUGGCGGCGUGCUUAACACAUGCAAGUCGAACGGAAAGGCCCCUUCGGGGGUACUCGAGUGGCGAACAGGUGAGUAACACGUGAGUAACCUGCCCUUGACUUCGGGAUAACUUCAGGAAACUGGGGCUAAUACCGGAUAGGAAUCCUUGCUGCAUGGUGGGGGUUGGAAAGCUUCGGCGGUUUUGGAUGGACUCGCGGCUUAUCAGCUUGUUGGUGGGGUAGUGGCUUACCAAGGCUUUGACGGGUAGCCGGCCUGAGAGGGCGACCGGCCACAUUGGGACUGAGAUACGGCCCAGACUCCUACGGGAGGCAGCAGUGGGGAAUAUUGCACAAUGGGCGGAGGCCUGAUGCAGCAACGCCGCGUGCGUGAUGACGGCCUUCGGGUUGUAAACCGCGUUCAGCAGGGGCGAAGCUUGUGGUGACGGUACCUGCAGAAGAAGCACCGGCUAACUACGUG
rnacentral:rRNA from 1 species